rnacentral:misc_RNA from 1 species
CACAUUCCUUUCUACUUCCCUUCCACCCCAUCCCCUUAAUGACCUCCUAGCUUCUCCACCUUCUCUUAAAAUGGCCACCAAUCCUCUCCAAUCCCUACACCACCACCACCACCACCACCACAUCCUCCUCAAGCUCCAACCCUCAGACUCUACUGCCACCUCCUCUCUUUUCCUCAAACCCACCACCUCCGUCUCUACCAUCAAGAAUACUUCUCUCUCCCUCUUCCUAUCUUCCUUUUCCUCCUCCACCACCACUACUUUCUCUGUCUCCCCCACCUCUUCAACUACUACUUCAACUUCUCAAACUUUUUCCCUUGACCUCCUCCACCAACACCUCUCCACCCAAAACUUCCGCCAAGCAGAUGAAGAAACUCGCCGCAUUCUUAUAGUCCUUGCAGGUGAAGCAGCACAGAAACGUGGGUAUGUCUUCUUCUCUGAAGUCCAGUUUAUCUCAGAGAAAGACCUUAAAACCAUUGAUGAAUUAUGGAAACAAUACAGCAACAAGAAGUUUGGUUACAGUAUUCAAAAGAGAAUAUGGCAGAAAAAGGCUAACAAAGACUUCAGCAAGUUCUUCCUCAAGGUUGGGUGGAUGAAAAAGCUUGAUACUGAGGUUGAACAAUACAACUAUAGAUCUUUUCCUAAUGAAUUCAUCUGGGAGCUCAACGAUGACACUCCUGAAGGGCACUUGCCAUUGACAAAUGCUCUUAGAGGGACACAGCUUCUCAAUAGCAUUCUUAACCAUCCCGCCUUUGAUGAUAUCAAGGAAGAAGAUGAGGUUGGUGAUGGAGGAAAUGAAAAUG